rnacentral:rRNA from 1 species
GACGAACGCUGGCGGCGUGCUUAACACAUGCAAGUCGAACGGAAAGGCCCUGCGUUUGUGGGGUGCUCGAGUGGCGAACGGGUGAGUAACACGUGAGUAACCUGCCCUUGACUUUGGGAUAACUUCAGGAAACUGGGGCUAAUAUCGGAUAGGAGCUCCUGCUGCAUGGUGGGGGGUGGAAAGUUUCGGCGGUUGGGGAUGGACGCGCGGCUUAUCAGCUUGUUGGUGGGGUAGUGGCUUACCAAGGGUUUGACGGGUAGGCGGCCUGAGAGGGUGACCGGCCACAUUGGGCCUGAGAUACGGCCCAGACUCCUACGGGAGGCAGCAGUGGGGAAUAUUGCACAAUGGGCGGAAGCCUGAUGCAGCAACGCCGCGUGCGGGAUGACGGCCUUCGGGUUGUAAACCGCUUUCGCCUGUGACGAAGCGUGAGUGACGGUAAUGGGUAAAGAAGCACCGGCUAACUACGUG